ensembl:lncRNA
CAAGGAAAGGGACAUUUAUUACUGUGUCUGGCAUGGUGCAUAUGAAGCCAUGUAUCCCUCUUGAUAAUAAACCAAAGCUGGAGGUCAGAUGUUUUCUGGAGGACAUUUUGUAUUCCAGGGAAGAGAAGGAAAGGGUUGGUGAAUUCGGAGCAGUUUACGCGUGCAAGGCAUUUCCCUUACGUGUGACUUCCAAGCAAGGCUUAGGGCAGAGCUGCAAAGGAUAAUCCAUCUGAGAGGUGAGCCCUGGAGCCAGAGGGCUUUAAGGCACUGGCUUAAGUUCACAGAGGAGCAGUGCUCAGUUGAAACCUGUCUCCCACCCACUCCUUUGCCUCCACAGCACUGCAGCCUCCUAGCCCAGCUCUAAGGAUGUGGUCUGCUGCAGCAAGCACUCUCUGGGCAUGAUGUGACUACACUCUCGCAGCACCCACCAGAGAGCUACUGCUGCCACCUCCUUUUACAGUGGAGGAAACGGAGACACCGUGAAGUGGCUGCGGGGAGUUUAGAGGCUGGGGGAAGACAUGAGGAACCCUCACCUAAAUGGAGCCAGGCGACCACGGCACCAGGAAGAGAGAGCUGCUGCAGGUGAAUGUGGUCUCACUGGCUUAUGUAACCAUUCCCCUUGGCCCCCACGGAACAUACAUAAACAAUAACUUGGAAUAGCUAUCGAUCUGGUUGAGGCAGGUCAUCAAAACCUGGAACUGUCCCUGCCAAACAGGAACAUCCUGCCCUCUCAGCUGAGCAGACGCCUGGCUUAUGGGGGGAGGAAUGAGUGAUGUAAUCAGGCUCUUGAAGCCAGGAAGCAUGGAUUGUCCUUGCUGUGUUGGGUCAUCUUCUCAAUUAUCACUUAUUCAGCAUUUAAAAUGUGGCCGUAGUCUAUGGCCAUACCACCCUGAAUGCGUCUGAUCUCGUCUGAUCUCAGAAGCUAGGCAGGGUCAGGCCUGGUUAAUACUUGGAUGGGAGAAUGUGGUCAUAAAUAAGCAAAAGUCCAUGUUGAUAGGCUUACAAUGUCUCGGGGAAGAGUUCCAGAAACGUAAAAUUUGGUAAUAGAGGGGCAACCGCUUUAGCUUGGGUAGUUUGGCUUGGGUUUUGAUGAGCAGAUAGGAGUUCACCGAGCAGGGAAGGGAAAAAUCCCGAGUCUUACUUGUCCGCUGGUUUAAGAUGAAAAAACAGCCCUGUGCAGAAUACAUGAGUGCUGGGAGGUACACCGAGGUGGCAGGAAAGUGUGACUCAGGGAUGAGGCUGUUCUGGGUCUGAUGGUAGAUCUUCCGGAUAUAGCAAUUUUGGCUUCGGCCCCACUGGUCAGGCCUCCAGCCCUUCUCUGGGCUCUGCUGAAAGAAAACUUGGCCCAAAGCAAAUUUCUCUCUCUGAGUGGGCCAACCAGUGCCUUGAUAAUUAGCAGCACAGAGGUCAAGGGAGGACUUUUAUUGGUGCCCUGGAGAAUAAAAAUACACAGAUGGGAGGCCCUCCCCAUCUCCCUACCCUCUGCCCUCUUCCCCACCUGCCCUGGCCGCAGCCACCAGGCAACUUCAUCUCUCUUAACCUGUUCUUGCUUGGUCUUGAAAUAGCUUGGCUGAAUCCUUGACAUGCCCUUUUCUAGGCCUCUCACUUGACUAAUGAUGGCCAUUUCCAGUUAUUCCUUAGGUCCUGGCAUUGCACACACAGCCUGACUAGCCUGCAGCCCCAUAAGAACUCUACAGGUAAGUCCUCUUGAAUGGCAAAAGCCCACAAUCCCAAACCAGCUACAAAAACUGACCACAGGCAGUCACUUCCCCGGCAUCCACGCUCACCAUUUUCAGGACCAGGUGGAUCAACUGCAGGGCAGAGC